rnacentral:rRNA from 1 species
UACGGAGGGUGCGAGCGUUGUCCGGAAUCACUGGGCGUAAAGGGCGCGUAGGUGGCGACCCAAGUCAACGGUGAAAGCUCGGCGCUUAACGCCGAGUCGGCCGUCGAUACUGGGUGGCUCGAGCACUGUAGAGGCAGAUGGAAUUCCGGGUGUAGCGGUGGAAUGCGUAGAGAUCCGGAAGAACACCGGUGGCGAAGGCGGUCUGCUGGGCAGUUGCUGACACUGAGGCGCGACAGCGUGGGGAGCAACAGG